UACGGGGGGAGCAAGCGUUGUUCGGAUUUACUGGGCGUAAAGGGCGCGUAGGCGGCCAGCACAAGUCAGUUGUGAAAUCUCCGAGCUUAACUCGGAAAGGUCAACUGAUACUGUGCGGCUAGAGUGCAGAAGGGGCAACUGGAAUUCUUGGUGUAGCGGUGAAAUGCGUAGAUAUCUGGAGGAACACCGGUGGCGAAGGCGGCAUCCUGGACCGGUAUUGACGCUGAGGCGCGAAAGCCAGGGGAGCGAACGGG
rnacentral:rRNA from 1 species